AUUGAACGCUGGCGGCAGGCCUAACACAUGCAAGUCGAGCGGAUGAAGGGAGCUUGCUCCUGGUUUCAGCGGCGGACGGGUGAGUAAUGCCUAGGAAUCUGCCUGGUAGUGGGGGAUAACGUCCGGAAACGGGCGCUAAUACUGCAUACGUCCUGAGGGAGAUAGAGGGGGAUCUUCGGACCUCACGCUAUCAGAUGAGCCUAGGUCGGAUUAGCUAGUUGGUGGGGUAAAGGCCUACCAAGGCGACGAUCCGUAACUGGUCUGAGAGGAUGAUCGGUCACACGGGAACUGAGACACGGUCCAGACUCCUACGGGAGGGAGCAGUGGGGAAUAUUGGACAGUGGGCGAAAGCCUGAUCCAGCCAUGCCGCGUGUGUGAAGAAGGUCUUCGGAUUGUAAAGCACUUUAAGUUGGGAGGAAGGGCAGUAAGUUAAUACCUUGCUGUUUUGACGUUACCAACAGAAUAAGCACCGGCUAACUUCGUG
rnacentral:rRNA from 1 species